rnacentral:rRNA from 2 species
UAGGGAAUCUUCGGCAAUGGGGGGAACCCUGACCGAGCAACGCCGCGUGAGUGAAGAAGGUUUUCGGAUCGUAAAGCUCUGUUGUUAAGGAAGAACGAGUGUGAGAAUGGAAAGUUCAUGCUGUGACGGUACUUAACCAGAAAGGGACGGCUAACUACGUGCCAGCAGCCGCGGUAAUACGUAGGUCCCGAGCGUUGUCCGGAUUUAUUGGGCGUAAAGCGAGCGCAGGCGGUUAGAAAAGUCUGAAGUGAAAGGCAGUGGCUCAACCAUUGUAGGCUUUGGAAACUGUUUAACUUGGGUGCAGAAGGGGAGAGUGGAAUUCCAUGUGUAGCGGUGAAAUGCGUAGAUAUAUGGAGGAACACCGGUGGCGAAAGCGGCUCUCUGGUCUGUAACUGACGCUGAGGCUCGAAAGCGUGGGGAGCGAACAGG